UCUUCUGAUCCCAUUGAUGUUUUAAACAUCAAGCUCAAGAGAUUUAAGUCGUACUUUAAAGGAUGGGGUUCGGAUAGAUUUGGUCAUGAUAAGAAAAGAAAGGAAGACCUUCGAAUGGAGUUGGAGAUGCUGGAAGAAGUAGAAGAAGAUGCCCCUCUCUCCCGUGAGCUAUAUAGUAGAAAGAUUGAUAUUUGUUUUGAGCUUCAUGAGUUGCUUGUCAAUGAGGAAAUUUUCUGGCUACAACAAUCGCAUGAGCGGUGGUUGCUCAAAGGGGACUUGAACACUGAUUAUUUCCAUCGUAUAGCGAAUGGACAUAAACGGAAAAACACGAUCCACUCCCUUAAGGUCGGUGACAUGGAGAUAGAGGGCACUGGUAAGCUGAUUGAGCAUGCCACGAAGUUCUAUAAAGAACUGUUUGGUCCUGCUCCUGGAAAUCAGUUUCAUCUUGACCCUAACACCUGGGCGCCUGAGGAAAGGCUGAGUGAGGAGGAUAACAAUGACUUGUGUAGAGAGUUCUCGGAGGAGGAGGUCAGGGAGUCUCUGUUUGACAUGGCAUCCAAUAGGGCCCCAGGUCCUGAUAAUAUCCCGGUAGAAUUCUAUCAGGUAUGUUGGGAUAUAGUUAAGAAGGAUAUCAUGGCCUUGUUUAGACACUUUCAUCAAGGAAAGUUGGAUGUUCAACGGUUGAACUACGGGAUUAUCACGCUGCUCCCGAAGCUCUCCGGG
rnacentral:rRNA from 1 species